rnacentral:tRNA from 1 species
GGGGCCGUAGCUCAGUUGGGAGAGCGCUGCGUUCGCAAUGCAGAGGUCGAGAGUUCGAAUCUCUUCGGCUCCACCA